GGGGUAAUAGUUUAAUUGGUUAGAACAAUUGCUUUGCAAGCAGUAGAUCCCGGUUCGAUACCGGUUUACUCCA
rnacentral:tRNA from 1 species